GAUGAACGCUGGCGGCGUGCCUAAUACAUGCAAGUCGAGCGAACAGACGAGGAGCUUGCUCCUCUGACGUUAGCGGCGGACGGGUGAGUAACACGUGGAUAACCUACCUAUAAGACUGGGAUAACUUCGGGAAACCGGAGCUAAUACGGGAUAAUAUAUUGAACCGCAUGGUUCAAUAGUGAAAGACGGUUUUGCUGUCACUUAUAGAUGGAUCCGCGCCGCAUUAGCUAGUUGGUAAGGUAACGGCUUACCAAGGCAACGAUGCGUAGCCGACCUGAGAGGGUGAUCGGCCACACUGGAACUGAGACACGGUCCAGACUCCUACGGGAGGCAGCAGUAGGGAAUCUUCCGCAAUGGGCGAAAGCCUGACGGAGCAACGCCGCGUGAGUGAUGAAGGUCUUCGGAUCGUAAAACUCUGUUAUUAGGGAAGAACAAAUGUGUAAGUAACUAUGCACGUCUUGACGGUACCUAAUCAGAAAGCCACGGCUAAGUACGUG
rnacentral:rRNA from 1 species